rnacentral:rRNA from 1 species
UACGUAGGGGGCUAGCGUUGUCCGGAAUCAUUGGGCGUAAAGAGCGUGUAGGCGGCCCGGUAAGUCCGCUGUGAAAGUCGGGGGCUCAACCCUCGAAUGCCGGUGGAUACUGCCGGGCUAGAGGAUGGUAGAGGCGAGUGGAAUUCCCGGUGUAGCGGUGAAAUGCGCAGAUAUCGGGAGGAACACCAGUAGCGAAGGCGGCUCGCUGGGCCAUUCCUGACGCUGAGACGCGAAAGCUAGGGGAGCGAACAGG